rnacentral:misc_RNA from 1 species
CGGAGAUCGUUCGGCUCUUUGUCAAAGAAGGCGCGAAGGUCGUUAUCCUCGACUUGAAUGCCGAAGGUGCGCGGAAGGUUGCCGCGGAAGCCGGCGGCGGGAUCGGAGGUGACGUCACCACGCGCGCAGACAUUGAUGCAGCGGUGAAAGCAGCAGUUGACAAUUUCAAACGCCUCGAUGUUGUGGUCAACAAUGCCGGCUGGACUCAUCGCAAU